rnacentral:rRNA from 1 species
GAUGAACGCUGGCGGCGUGCUUAACACAUGCAAGUCGAACGGAAAGGCUCCUGCUUGCAGGGGUACUCGAGUGGCGAACGGGUGAGUAACACGUGGGUGAUCUGCCCUGCACUUCGGGAUAAGCCUGGGAAACUGGGUCUAAUACCGGAUAGGACCACAUUUUGGAUGGUGUGGUGGAAAGUUUUUCGGUGUGGGAUGAGCUCGCGGCCUAUCAGCUUGUUGGUGGGGUAAUGGCCUACCAAGGCGUCGACGGGUAGCCGGCCUGAGAGGGUGUACGGCCACAUUGGGACUGAGAUACGGCCCAGACUCCUACGGGAGGCAGCAGUGGGGAAUAUUGCACAAUGGGCGCAAGCCUGAUGCAGCGACGCCGCGUGGGGGAUGACGGCCUUCGGGUUGUAAACUACUUUCGCUAGGGACGAAGCGCAAGUGACGGUACCUGGAGAAGAAGCACCGGCUAACUACGUG